rnacentral:rRNA from 1 species
CCCUUAGAUGUUCUGGGCUGCACGCGCGCUACACUGAUACUUUCAGCGAGUCCACCACCUUGCCUGGGAGGGUGGGGUAACCUCUGGAAAGUGCAUCGUGAUGGGGAUCGAUUAUUGUAAUUAUUAAUCUUCAACGAGGAAUUCCUAGUAAGCAUGUGUCAUCAGCCCGUGCUGAUUACGUCCCUGCCCUUUGUACACACCGCCCGUCGCUCCUACCGAUUGGAUGGUCCGGUGAAGCCUCGGGAUUGUGGUUCUUGCCGCUUUAUUGUGGCGUGACCGCGAGAACUUGUCUAAACCUUAUCAUCUAGAGGAAGGUGAAGUCGUAACA